rnacentral:rRNA from 1 species
AAUGAACGUUGGCGGCGUGGAUCAGGCAUGCAAGUCGCGCGGAAAGGCCCCGCAAGGGGUGCUCGAGCGGCGUAAGGGACAGUAAUGCGUAGAUACCUACCCUUCGGCCCGGGAUAGCUGCGGGAAACUGCAAUUAAUACCGGAUAAUGUCGCAAGACCAAAGGUGUGAUUCCACCGUUGGAUGGGUCUGCGUCCUAUUAGCUAGUUGGUGAGGUAAUGGCUCACCAAGGCAAAGAUGGGUAGCAGGUGUGAGAGCACGACCUGCGUCACUGGGACUGAGACACUGCCCAGACACCUACGGGUGGCUGCAGUCGAGAAUCUUCGGCAAUGGGCGCAAGCCUGACCGAGCGACGCCGCGUGCGGGAUGAAGGCCCUCGGGUUGUAAACCGCUGUCGUAGGGGAGGAAUGGCCGGAAGGUUCUCCUUUCGGUUUGACCUAUCCUAGGAGGAAGUCAGGGCUAAGCUCGUGCCAGCCGCCGCUGUAAGAC